rnacentral:rRNA from 1 species
AGGUUGUGGUCUUGAACCGUGGCUUCUGGAGCUAACGCGUUAAAUCGACCGCCUGGGGAGUACGGCCGCAAGGUUAAAACUCAAAUGAAUUGACGGGGGCCCGCACAAGCGGUGGAGCAUGUGGUUUAAUUCGAUGCAACGCGAAGAACCUUACCUACUCUUGACAUCCAGCGAAUCCUUUAGAGAUAGAGGAGUGCCUUCGGGAGCGCUGAGACAGGUGCUGCAUGGCUGUCGUCAGCUCGU